AGUGUUUAAUGAAUUUACUCUUCUCCAUGGCGCGUCCAUGAGGGCAGAAAUUUCAUGCUUCAAAUCUGCUUGGCGAGAACCUUUUCAGGCCUGGAGAUGUCCUUGUGAACUGGUCAGUGAUUUUCGGAAAGUGGAGCUGCAUUCAAGGUUUGAGAUAUAGUUUAUGUCGACUGGAUGAGUUGUUUGAUCUCUUUGCCCUGUUCUUCGAGAUGGGUUGCGAUGAAAACUCUUGGGGCCAUGAGCAACACUUGAGGCUCCUCUUCAUAAGCACAAAAGCUGCAGCAAGCAGAAAUUGGAGAGUUGAAGAGCUUUGUACAGAACCG